UACGAAGGGGGGCUAGCGUUGUUCGGAAUCACUGGGCGUAAAGCGCACGUAGGCGGAUCUUUUAAGUCAGGGGGUGAAAUCCCGAGGCUCAACCUCGGAACUGCCUUUGAUACUGGGGGAUCUCGAGUCCGGGAGAGGUGAGUGGAACUGCGAGUGAGAGGUGAAAUUUCGUAGAUAUUCGCAAGAACACCAGUGGCGAAGGCGGCUCACUGGCCCGGAUACUGACGCUGAGGCACGAAAGCGUGGG
rnacentral:rRNA from 1 species